rnacentral:rRNA from 1 species
GAUGAACGCUGGCGGCGUGCCUAAUACAUGCAAGUCGAGCGAACGGACGAGAAGCUUGCUUCUCUGAUGUUAGCGGCGGACGGGUGAGUAACACGUGGAUAACCUACCUAUAAGACUGGGAUAACUUCGGGAAACCGUAGCUAAUACCGGAUAAUAUUUUGAACCGCAUGGUUCAAAAGUGAAAGACGGUCUUGCUGUCACUUAUAGAUGGAUCCGCGCUGCAUUAGCUAGUUGGUAAGGUAACGGCUUACCAAGGCAACGAUGCAUAGCCGACCUGAGAGGGUGAUCGGCCACACUGGAACUGAGACACGGUCCAGACUCCUACGGGAGGCAGCAGUAGGGAAUCUUCCGCAAUGGGCGAAGGCCUGACGGAGCAAUGCCGCGUGAGUGAUGAAGGUCUUCGGAUCGUAAAACUCUGUUAUUAGGGAAGAACAUAUGUGUAAGUAACUGUGCACAUCUUGACGGUACCUAAUCAGAAAGCCACGGCUAACUACGUG